CAGUCACUCCUAGGGCAUCCAUGUGGGCACAGAACUCCUGCAGGGGCAGGUGGGCCAUCUGGGGAAGGGAUGAGGGGGAUAGGGAAAUGCAGCCCACCACAGAAUCAGCCUGGAGACAGAAUCACCCUCCCCCUCAGUGAGGGGCAGGUGGGUAACUGCUCAGAGGGGAGAAUGGAUGUGGGGGGACAUUGUACAGAUAUUUUGGAUGGGUGGGUAGAUGGAUGAGUGUAUUGCAUGGAUGGAUGGUGGAUGGGCAUGGUGGAUGAAUGAGUGGGUGCACUGCAUGGGCGAAUGGAUGAUGGAUGAGCUUGUUGGGUGGAUGGCUGGAUGGUGUGUGGGAUGGACAGGUGGUUGUGAGGGUUGCAUGGAUGAACAAGUGUGAUGGAUGGAUGGUUGGGCAGAUGGAUGAGUGUGUUGGAUGGAUGGAUGAGUGUGUUGGAUGGUUGGGCAGAUGGAUGAGUGUGUUGAAUGGAUGGAUGGGUUGGGUGGAUG